CAGCAGCCACGGUAAUACGAAGGGGGCUAGCGUUGCUCGGAAUGACUGGGCGUAAAGGGCGCGUAGGCGGCUGACACAGUCAGAUGUGAAAUUCCUGGGCUCAACCUGGGGACUGCAUUUGAGACGUGUUGGCUUGAGUGGAGAAGAGGGUCGUGGAAUUUCCAGUGUAGAGGUGAAAUUCGUAGAUAUUGGAAAGAACACCGGUGGCGAAGGCGGCGACCUGGUCUUUAACUGACGCUGAGGCGCGAAAGCGUGGGGAGCAAACAGGAUUAGAUACCCCCGUAGUCCCUGUCUCUUAUAC
rnacentral:rRNA from 1 species